rnacentral:tRNA from 1 species
GUCAGGAUGGCCGAGUGGUCUAAGGCGCCAGACUCAAGGCUCUGAGCCUUCCCGCUGGGAUUUCUGGUCUCCCCUGGAGGCGUGGGUUCGAAUCCCACUCCUGACA